GUGGGGAAUUUUGGACAAUGGGCGCAAGCCUGAUCCAGCAAUGCCGCGUGCAGGAAGAAGGCCUUCGGGUUGUAAACUGCUUUUGUACGGAACGAAAAGGCUCUGGUUAAUACCUGGGGCUCAUGACGGUACCGUAAGAAUAAGCACCGGCUAACUACGUGCCAGCAGCCGCGGUAAUACGUAGGGUGCAAGCGUUAAUCGGAAUUACUGGGCGUAAAGCGUGCGCAGGCGGUUUUGUAAGACAGAGGUGAAAUCCCCGGCUCAACCUGGGAAUUGCGCUUGUGACUGCAGUGCUGGAGUGCGGCAGAGGGGGAUGGAAUUCCGCGUGUAGCAGUGAAAUGCGUAGAUAUGCGGAGGAACACCGAUGGCGAAGGCAAUCCCCUGGGCCUGCACUGACGCUCAUGCACGAAAGCGUGGGGAGCAAACAGGAUUAGAAACCCCAGUAGUCC
rnacentral:rRNA from 1 species